UAUUUUUAUAAAAAUAGUGUAUAAUAAUAAUACAAUAACCGCAAACAUGGAUACAAGUAUGGAUAAUAGCAAGGGUGGUUUUCUAAACGACACACUAUCGGUUUCUGGCGAAAAGAAUUUGAAAAGAGUACAAAAUGUUAUUCCUGUAAUGAUAGGACAAAUAUUACGUUCUUCUGGCGAUUUUGAAAUUUGGGGAGUUCCAGCACGUAUGAUUACAAUUCUUGGCAUACUACGCAACGUUAAUGAAUCUACAACUAAGAUCACAUAUGAAAUUGAAGAUGAAACAGGUGCAAUCACAGCUGUUCGAUGGUUAGAAGCAAAUAAAGUAAUGCCAGAGCCAUCGUUGGAAAUAAAUAGUUAUGUCAGAGUAGUUGGUCUUCUGCGUGAACAGAAUGGAACUAAGCAAAUUUUUGUAUUGCGUAUAUCACCUCUUGAAGAACUCAACGAGUUAACCAAUCACUUGUUAGAAGUCACUUAUGUAACGUUAAAAGCGGAACAAUUAUUUAAAGGAAAAGAUUCAAAUAAUGCUCCUUUUAAUGAUGAUGAUGAUUCGAAAAUUGCUAAUGAUUGCUCUGGCAUGAGUCCAGAACAAGCUGCAAUAUUUAAUAUAAUACAAGCUGAUACCAGUGAUUCUGGAAUUGAAAGAAGUGUAGUGAGAGCUCGUACACCUUCACAUAUUUUACGUGAUGUUGAUAAUAUCAUCCAUUUUCUAAUAUCCGAAGGUCAUAUUUAUACCACAUGUACAGAUGACCACUUUAAAGCAACUUAAUUUGUGGAUUUAAUAAUAAUUAUUUUUAUAUACAUACUCUGAUAUAAAAGAUGUUAAAUAUAAAUGAGAAUAUUUGAAUACGAUAUUUUUGGCGCUCUUGUUCUGCGCAUUUCGACGCGCAUCGAUGACAUUAAGUCCCUAGAACACGUCGUAAAUCGAUUAUCGCAAAUAGUGAUAUCGAUAGAUAGUUUCUAACAAUACACAAUAGUUCGAUUUAGAGACGAAAAUACCAGCAGUAUACAAAACACGUUAUUUUAAUCUGUGCAUCGUAAUUCGAAUUAUAAAUCGGAUAUCAUAACGCGGUAAUUGUUUUAUCAAAUUUUUAUGUAUUGUUAUACAUAUAUAACGUGAAAUUUGUGAUAAUUUAUAAAAAAUUUAUCGAUAUAAACGACUGUUUUACAAAUUUAUAAGUUAAAUUCGUGGUUAAACAUUACAGACAGUUUAUACUAAUUUUGAGGUUAGACAAGAGAUUCCUUAAAUGUA